AGGGUGCUUAGCAGAAUCCUCAGCUCACAAGAUGAAUAAAUGCAGACUAAAUGAUGCACAAAUAAUCUUCACACACAACCAUCAACACAUGGAAAGACUGCAGGACGGCCAGAUCCCAAGCUAACAAACAGGGGAAGAUGAUGUUUCAAAUGAUCAUCUGAAUGCUGGGUUUCCACCUUCCACCAGGAAGUCAUAUGGUAAAAAGAAAAAAAAUGGCAUUAUGAUACAAACAGAAAAUGUAACAGUGGAGUGCAGAAAAUACAAAAAAAAGGAAAAAAUAAAUAGAAAAUCUUCAAAGAGGCAAUCUGUUUAAAUCUUCAAGAACUGGAAACAGUAAAAGUGAACAGGUUUUUAUUGAGCAUGUCAAUAAAAUGUUUGCAUAAGACUUUACAAGUGCUUUAUUUCAUGAGGUUUUUAUUAUUGAUCAAAGCAACGAAAAUGAACGGGAAAUUCAUUCUCAUCAAAUCUACAACUUGGGAGGAGGUCCGAUGAAAUCCCUGGAAGCUCACAUUUUUUAUAAAUGAAGAGUUAAUUACCGGUGGGAACAAUGAGAACCUCUGUGGUUCUUCCUGAUGCUUGGAUCCUCCCAGACCUCUGUUUCCAGUCUCCUUCUCCACAACCUGGCCUAUGCGAUGCAAGUGGUCUAACUGAUCUCCGCCUAGGGAAGGAUCCUUCGGCAACUUGCCGACAAGAGAAGCAGCGAUGCCCGAGGCAGGUCCAAAGGAGCACUGACUGCGUGGGAUUGAUUACACUGGAGGAACAAAAGGUCCUGUGGCUACACAAGUUUGAAAAGCAGAAGGUACAAUCAUUGUAUUUCUGGCAGACUUUUCAAAGACUUUAAUAUAUGAAUCCCUCAUAUGAAUCUCCUGGAGGAUUAUAUAAUAGGCAGAUCUCCCAGCCAUUUUCACUGAACAGUUCUUAGAAUUGGUAUCCUUGAAAAAUUUCACCUAACCACUCAAUAUGGUAGCCACUAGUCCUGGGUGGCUAUUGAGCACCUGAAAUUUGCCUAGUCUGAAUUAAGACACAUUCUAAGAAUAAAGCACACUGUAUUUCAAAGGCAGUACAAAAAUAAAAAAGAAUGUAAGCUGUCUCAAUAAUAAUUUUUGUAUUGAAUACGUGUUGAAAUGAUGUUAUUUUUGAUAUAUUGAGUGAAAUAAAUUGUAUUGCUAAAA
rnacentral:lncRNA from 1 species